rnacentral:lncRNA from 1 species
GAGUCUUUGGUGUCCAGAGCCCUUGCUGGAGCUUGACCACAUGCUGCCUGCAUGACUGACCUUUGCUCUCCAGUCCCUAUGGGGGCUGGAACUGAUAUGGCGUGUUUCGGAGCCCCCAUUAUAAAUCACAUCAUUUGAGCAUCUGGUGGCCAAACUCCUCAGGCAAACAAUGACAUUCCUAUUGGGCAGGACAUUCCAGAGGCCUAGAGAUCAUCUCCCAGUAGCCGAGGGCCAAAGCCAGACCUCUCUUUGGUUGGCUUCAGGUCACAUGUUGCUCUGGAGAACCGAGAAGGGUGAGCAGACACCAAUCAUGACCCCAAACAGCAAGAGGACAGAAGGGAUCCCCCCUACUCCACAGCUUGACGGCAGAGCAGUGACCAGAAUAUAUGCUCAGGAAGGCCAAAGAGAUGAAGCCGCAGCUGCCUCUUUUUUUUUUUUGAGACAGUCUCAUUCUGUUGCCCGGGCUGGAGUGCAGUGGUGCGAUCUCGGCUCACUGUAACCUCCACCUCCCAGGUUCAAGCAAUUCUCGUACCUCAGCCUCCCAGGUAGCUGGAACUAUACAGGUGUACCAUCACACCCGGCUAAUUAUUUUUUGUCUUUUUUUGUAGAGAUGGGGUUUCGCCAUGUUGGUCAGGCUGGUCUCGAACUCCUGGCCUCAGGUGAUCCACGCACCUCCGCCUCCCAAAGUCCUGGGAUUAGAGGCGUGAGCCACCGUGCCCAGCCAGGCUUGCUUCUCUGAGCCAUACCCUUCUGUUGGAACAAGCAUCCUUUCUAUUAAAAGCAAUAAAUCUCCUCUUAUUUAAGUGGCAGAUGGUUUAGAUUGUUACUUUUGCUUUCAGCGAUCCUCUAGAAAAAGAAGGAACUUUAAGGUUGAGAACUAACUUCUAGCAGCUAUGCAGAAGUUCUGAGAGGUGACUCGUGUUUUUUACAUCAAGACCUCCACAAAGGCCCCUUCUGUCAUUGAGUCAAAGUUCUAGCGACCUAGGUUCAUCCUCAAAUGUGUAAUGAAAACCUGUAAAUCACUUGGACUCCACUUCCCCUCCCACCCUGGGUCCUCCACCCCACCUUGCUUUGGUUUUGCUUGGGGAG